rnacentral:rRNA from 1 species
CUCAAAUGAAUUGACGGGGGCCCGCACAAGCGGUGGAGCAUGUGGUUUAAUUCGAUGCAACGCGAAGAACCUUACCUACUCUUGACAUCCAGAGAAUCUAGCGGAGACGCUGGAGUGCCUUCGGGAGCUCUGAGACAGGUGCUGCAUGGCUGUCGUCAGCUCGUGUUGUGAAAUGUUGGGUUAAGUCCCGCAACGAGCGCAACCCUUAUCCUUGUUUGCCAGCACGUAAUGGUGGGAACUCCAGGGAGACUGCCGGUGAUAAACCGGAGGAAGGUGGGGACGACGUCAAGUCAUCAUGGCCCUUACGAGUAGGGCUACACACGUGCUACAAUGGCGUAUACAGAGGGCAGCGAUACCGCGAGGUGGAGC